UGGGGAAUAUUGGACAAUGGGGGCAACCCUGAUCCAGCCAUGCCGCGUGAGUGAUGAAGGCCUUCGGGUUGUAAAGCUCUUUUGGCGGGGACGAUGAUGACGGUACCCGCAGAGUAAGCCCCGGCUAACUUCGUGCCAGCAGCCGCGGUAAGACGAAGGGGGCAAGCGUUGUUCGGAAUUACUGGGCGUAAAGGGCGCGUAGGCGGUUUGCUUAGUCAGGCGUGAAAGCCCUGGGCUUAACCUGGGAUGUGCGCUUGAUACUGGCAGGCUUGAGUGUGGGAGAGGUUGGUGGAAUUCCCAGUGUAGAGGUGAAAUUCGUAGAUAUUGGGAAGAACACCGGUGGCGAAGGCGGCCAACUGGACCACAACUGACGCUGAGGCGCGAAAGCGUGGGGAGCAAACA
rnacentral:rRNA from 1 species